CGGGGUGAGUAACGCGUGGAUAAUCUGCCUCACACUGGGGGAUAACAGUUAGAAAUGGCUGCUAAUACCGCAUAAGCGCACAGUACCGCAUGGUACGGUGUGAAAAACCCAGGUGGUGUGAGAUGGAUCCGCGUCUGAUUAGCCAGUUGGCGGGGUAACGGCCCACCAAAGCGACGAUCAGUAGCCGACCUGAGAGGGUGACCGGCCACAUUGGGACUGAGACACGGCCCAA
rnacentral:rRNA from 1 species